CUAAUCUCUAACUGUAAGUCGCUCUGGAUAAAAGUGUCUGCUAAAUGACUCAAA
rfam:Salmo salar isolate Sally breed double haploid chromosome ssa22, whole genome shotgun sequence.